rnacentral:rRNA from 1 species
ACUCCUACGGGAGGCAGCUAGUAGGAAUUUUCCGCAAUGGACGAAAGUCUGACGGAGCAAUGCCGCGUGAGUGAUGAAGGUUUUACGAAUCGUAAAGCUCUGUUGUAAGGGAAGAAUAGCAAGAAUAGGAAAUGAUUCUUGUCUGACGGUACCUUACCAGAAAGCCACGGCUAACUACGUGCCAGCAGCCGCGGUAAUACGUAGGUGGCAAGCGUUAUCCGGAAUUAUUGGGCGUAAAGCGCAUGCAGGUGGUUUGUUAAGUCAGAUGUGAAAGCCCGGGGCUCAACCUCGGAAUUGCAUUUGAAACUGGCAGACUAGAGUACUGUAGAGGGGGGUAGAAUUUCAGGUGUAGCGGUGAAAUGCGUAGAGAUCUGAAAGAAUACCGGUGG